rnacentral:rRNA from 1 species
AGUGAACGCUGGCGGUAGGCCUAACACAUGCAAGUCGAACGGCAGCACAGUAAGAGCUUGCUCUUACGGGUGGCGAGUGGCGGACGGGUGAGGAAUACAUCGGAAUCUACUUUUUCGUGGGGGAUAACGUAGGGAAACUUACGCUAAUACCGCAUACGACCUACGGGUGAAAGCAGGGGAUCUUCGGACCUUGCGCGAUUGAAUGAGCCGAUGUCGGAUUAGCUAGUUGGCGGGGUAAAGGCCCACCAAGGCGACGAUCCGUAGCUGGUCUGAGAGGAUGGACACCCACAUGGGCACCGAACACGGGCCCGACCCACUCGGGGGGGCGCCGUGGGGGAAUUUUGAAAAAUGGGGCAAGGCCGUCCCCCCCCUACCCGGGGGGGUGAAAGAGGCUUUCGGUUUUAAAACCCUUUUUUUGGGGAAAAAAAAACAACCGUUUAACACCCCGGUUUCCGGAGCGUCCCAAAAAAAAAAACCCCGGCAAACUUCGUC